rnacentral:tRNA from 1 species
GGGGGUGUAGCCAAGCGGUAAGGCGGUGGAUUUUGAUUCCAUGACUCAUAGGUUCGAAUCCUAUCACCCGUA